GUGCGCCCUCCAGCCAUUCUAGCGGCGCCUUCAUCCCCGACGACCGGCGCCCCUCGCAGUCUUGUAGUACAGUGCCCCUCAAAAGAACACCUAUUACACAGCUCUGAAAGCAGCAGAUCCACUACAUUGGAAGGACCGUGAUCUCGAUCCAGAAAUCAUGUACUCCUCCAGUGGUGGCAUGCCCAUGGGCGACUAGCAAUAGGUGAUGGUGCUAUAAAGAAAGCAGUGGUAGUUGCAAAAGCUAGAGAGAAUGACACAAGGCCAUCAAACUCCAUAUCAUACCAUUGUUUAUUGAAGGAAAAUGCUCAACUUAAAAGGCGCUGCAAGAAUAAUUUUGUUCUGAGCAAACAUGUACAGGGGUUUUAUGGCAAGCUAGGAUGGGAAGUACCCGAAGAUCUUCUUGCCUACCAAGAUGAGCUGAUGGAUGGCGGUGAUCUGGUGAAUGAAAUACCCCAGGCCCAAGAGGAUGGUGGUACUCCAAUGACAGAUUCUUCACAUGAUGAAAGGCAUGUUGAUGCUGGUACUCAAAUGGAUGAUCAUGGUUCUGGUC